rnacentral:rRNA from 1 species
CCUACGUGAGGCUGCAGUGGGGAAUAUUGCACAAUGGGCGCAAGCCUGAUGCAGCCAUGCCGCGUGUGUGAAGAAGGCCUUCGGGUUGUAAAGCACUUUCAGCGGGGAGGAAGGCGGUGAGGUUAAUAACCUCAUCGAUUGACGUUACCCGCAGAAUAAGCACCGGCUAACUCCGUGCCAGCAGCCGCGGUAAUACGGAGGGUGCAAGCGUUAAUCGGAAUUACUGGGCGUAAAGCGCACGCAGGCGGUCUGUCAAGUCGGAUGUGAAAUCCCCGGGCUCAACCUGGGAACUGCAUUCGAAACUGGCAGGCUAGAGUCUUGUAGAGGGGGGUAGAAGUCCAGGUGUAGCGGUGAAAUGCGUAGAGAUCUGGAGGAAUACCGGUGGCGAAGGCGGCCCCCUGGACAAAGACUGACGCUCAGGUGUGAAAGCGUGGGGAGCAAACAGGAUUAGAUACCCCAGUAGUC